ACCUGAAACACACAGUGAAGAGAGAGAAAGAAGAAAAGACAAAAAUUCAUUGUUUUAAUGAAGGGAAAAAUGUCUUGUAAAUUCUAUAUUUAGAGGAAGAUGAAAGAGAUGGUAAUAAAGACACUUGAUUCCAUCGCACACGUGAGAGUGUCUACGGAGUUACUAAAGAGUGCUCAAUGCACACUGAUUAUAUAUACGGGCACGAAGGAAGAGCGUAAUCGUUGAUUCUUUGCUACGGAGGAAGUAGUCGCUUGUCCGGACUGUGGACAACGUGGCACCCAUGUGUCCUUACGCGUCGCGAUCUUUCCAACCAGACAAUGAACCUACUCUUCAUUCUGUCGAUCCACGUGCCCACUACAACAGGUAAAUACACUGCAGAGCGACCAGGCCC
rnacentral:misc_RNA from 1 species